GACGAACGCUGGCGGCGUGCUUAACACAUGCAAGUCGAACGGAAAGGCCCUGCUUUUGUGGGGUGCUCGAGUGGCGAACGGGUGAGUAACACGUGAGUAACCUGCCCUUGACUUUGGGAUAACUUCAGGAAACUGGGGCUAAUACCGGAUAGGAGCUCCUGCUGCAUGGUGGGGGUUGGAAAGUUUCGGCGGUUGGGGAUGGACUCGCGGCUUAUCAGCUUGUUGGUGGGGUAGUGGCUUACCAAGGCUUUGACGGGUAGCCGGCCUGAGAGGGUGACCGGCCACAUUGGGACUGAGAUACGGCUCAGACUCCUACGGGAGGCAGCAGUGGGGAAUAUUGCACAAUGGGCGGAAGCCUGAUGCAGCAACGCCGCGUGCGGGAUGACGGCCUUCGGGUUGUAAACCGCUUUCGCCUGUGACGAAGCGUGAGUGACGGUAAUGGGUAAAGAAGCACCGGCUAACUACGUGCCAGCAGCCGCGGUGAUACGUAGGGUGCGAGCGUUGUCCGGAUUUAUUGGGCGUAAAGGGCUCGUAGGUGGUUGAUCGCGUCGGAAGUGUAAUCUUGGGGCUUAACCCUGAGCGUGCUUUCGAUACGGGUUGACUUGAGGAAGGUAGGGGAGAAUGGAAUUCCUGGUGGAGCGGUGGAAUGCGCAGAUAUCAGGAGGAACACCAGUGGCGAAGGCGGUUCUCUGGGCCUUUCCUGACGCUGAGGAGCGAAAGCGUGGGGAGCGAACAGGCUUAGAUACCCUGGUAGUCCACGCUGUAAACGGUGGGUACUAGGUGUGGGGUCCAUUCCACGGGUUCCGUGCCGUAGCUAACGCUUUAAGUACCCCGCCUGGGGAGUACGGCCGCAAGACUAAAACUCAAAGGAAUUGACGGGGCCCCGCACAAGCGGCGGAGCAUGCGGAUUAAUUCGAUGCAACGCGUAGAACCUUACCUGGGUUUGACAUGGAUCGGGAGUGCUCAGAGAUGGGUGUGCCUCUUUUGGGGUCGGUUCACAGGUGGUGCAUGGCUGUCGUCAGCUCGUGUCGUGAGAUGUUGGGUUAAGUCCCGCAACGAGCGCAACCCUUGUUCACUGUUGCCAGCACGUUAUGGUGGGGACUCAGUGGAGACCGCCGGGGUCAACUCGGAGGAAGGUGGGGAUGACGUCAAGUCAUCAUGCCCCUUAUGUCCAGGGCUUCACGCAUGCUACAAUGGCUGGUACAGAGAGUGGCGAGCCUGUGAGGGUGAGCGAAUCUCGGAAAGCCGGUCUCAGUUCGGAUUGGGGUCUGCAACUCGACCUCAUGAAGUCGGAGUCGCUAGUAAUCGCAGAUCAGCAACGCUGCGGUGAAUACGUUCCCGGGGCU
rnacentral:rRNA from 1 species